UUUUUUUUUCUUUUUUUGUAUUUUUAGGGCCACAGAUGAGGCAUAUGGAAGUUCCCAGGCUAGAGCUCGAAUCAGAGCUGUAGCAGCUGGCCAACACCACAGCCACAGCACAUCACCAGACCCUUAACCCACUGAGAGAGGCCAGGGAUUUAACCUGUAUCCUCAUGGAUACUAGUUAGAUUCAUUUCUGCUGAGCCAUGACAGGAACUCCCCUCUGAGGUGUUUAAUUCUCAGACUUAUCCACACUGAGCCUCCAGAAACUUGUCAAUUGCAAUGUGGGUGUUCUAGCUGGUCCUGGAUCCCACGGAGGUUUCUGAUCAUGGGUUUCACUCCAGGACAUUGUGAUCUUCUGUGCCUUCCUGUCUCUCUCCAAUUUAGGGGACAGUGGUUUGUCCUGUGACCUCACUUCUCUGAUGGAUCUAAGAAGAGUUGUUGAUUUUUCAUUUUGUUCAGCAUUUUACUUGUUGUUAGGAUCAAGUGAUGACUUCGAAGUUCCUUACUUACCAAACCAGAAAUCUGGAUACUUUUCAAGAUUUUUUCUUUAUCACUGGUUUUCAGUACUUUCAUUAUGAUAUACCUUGGCAUGGUUUUUAUUAUGCUUCUUCUGCUUGAGGAUCAUUGAGCUUUUUGGAUUUGUAGGUUCAACAUUUUUGUCAAAUUUGAAAACAUUUUGGCCAUUUCUUCAAACAUUUCUUUCUGCUUCCCCUGACUUCUUCUGUGAAUUUCAUAUAUGUUUGAUUACAUAAUAUUGCCACACAGCUGACAGAUGCUGUUUUUGUUCAAGUCUGUUUUUUUCUGUUUCAUUUUGGAUAACUUUUUUCUAUAUUUGGAUUUAUAUUUCUAAAACUUCAGGUUCACUAAUCUUUCCUUUGGCAGUGUCUAAUCUGCUCAUAUAUCUACUCAGUGUAUUUUUUUAAAUUUCAGAUACUGUAUUUUUAAUAGUCUGGAGCUCCAUUCAAUUCUUCUUUAUUUCUUCCAUUUCCCUCAUUAUAUCUAUGUUAUUCUUUGCAAUGUGAAUUUAAUCAUAUUGAGCGAUCAAUUUUCUUGUAUUCCUUUAAAUAGUGUUAAGCAUUUUCUAGCAGGUCAUUAAAUUACUCUCAUAUUAAUUUGACCAUUCUGAAGUAGUUUUUUAAAAGUUCUUUUCAAGAGUAUUUAGAGCUCUUCUGUCCCACUUCUAAGACCUGGCCCUUUUGAGGUGUCUACUAAAUGUCCUUAAAUGCAGCAAUGUCUCUUCAGUCUUGCUGGACAGCCGUCAAACAAUCUUUAGCCCUGUAUGGGCUCUGGGAAUUGCUUAUUUUAUAGCUUCCUUGUAAUUAUUUUACCUUGGAGGUUGUUCCUGUUCAACUUUGUAUGGCGUUUUCCGUAUUCCUCCUCAUUAUAUUCAUGUUUCCCUUUAAUCCUUUGAACAGAGCAUACACAGACUGGUAAUCACCUGCAGACUCGAGAAACCCCUAUCUGCGUUUCUACAGCAGUUAAUGCUCCAGGAACAGGAGCAGAAGUGGCUCUAUCUAUGUUUAAUGGAGAGAGAGGGAGAUGCAGAAAUGUUGUAUCAUGUUCUUGCACUCAGGUUCACAUUUCUCUAGGAUUCAAGGAACCAAAGGUUACUUCUAAUGAAUAGUCUCCAAAUUAUUUAUGUCUUUGAGUUCCCAUUGUGGCUCAGCAGAAACAAAUCUGCCUAGUAUUCCUGAGGAUGCAGGUUCGAUCCUUGGCCACAAUCAGUGGGUGAAGUGUCUGGCAUUGCCAUGUGAUAUGGUGUAGGUUACAGAUGCAGCUUAGAUCUGGUGUUGCUGUCUGUGGAAUAGGCUGGCAGCUAUAGCUCUGAUUUGACCUCUAGCCUGGGAACCUCCAUAUGCUGCAGGUGUGGCCCUAAAAAUAAACACACACACAAAAAAACCCGCAAACAUAGCCAAAAACAAUAUUUUUGUCUUGAGGAUUUAGACCUUAUUCCUAAAAACAAGCCACUCAGUGCCAUAUCUAAAUUGUUUUAUAUCCAACUUCAGUUCUCUAGCCCUUGCUCUCUUUAAAGCAAGGAAUACAUGGUGAUGGGGGUUAGUACUUAAACACAGUAAAUGGAUCAGCUUUUUAAAGUUAUGUAAAAUCUCUUGUGCACUCUGCCUUUGUGACUAGGGCUUAGACUAACCUCUGUAAUGUAGUUGGAUCAGUUCCUACCACUGUGUGGCAAUGAAAAUAUUUAGGGAUAACAACAUUGCCCAUACCCCCUCCCUUACCUCCUAUCAGUCGGAACAGAAAUGCUCACAAGGAAUAUAUUAUUACAAAGAUCUCUGAUCAUAUCUCCAAAUGCCUCUGGGGUUAUCCAAACCUUCUUAUGUCAGCAACCUGACAGCCUACUCUCCUCUGACCUGUAAUCAGCUCUGGCCAGGGCAUAUCAGGAUUUUGGGAUGAGAAUCCACUGCCAGAGAGACUUCUGCAGCAAUUCUUAUUUUGUCUAAUAAAUGGCAGAAAGCCAAAUCCUGAUAGCAUACUCAGUCCUGAUCUCCUUUUUGCUGAAGACACAAAACGUGGGAAAAGAGUACUUUAUGAGAUGAAAUAGUGGAAAAGAAACAGAUUAUACAUAAUCACUUGAAAUGUUGGUAUCAGCAGAGCUGGAAAAAAAUCCCCUGGCGAAAUCCUAUGGUGAAAAUCUGCUAAUUUUGAGGGGAUUAAAUCAACAGAAUAAUUUUGGAUGGGCAGAUAAUGGAAGUAACCAUUCUCACAGUUAAACUAACUCCAGGGGAGGAAACUUCAUUUUUAAAUCUCUGCAAUAAAUGCCAGUAGAAUUUGGUACUUUUUUUUUUUUUAAGCUACACAAUUGGGACUGUCACUUAGGAUACAAUUUACAUUUCUAGAACCUCUAUGUGCCAGUUGUGUUAACAUUUUAUUCAAAUACAAAUUCACAAUUUAACUGUAACUAUUUGGAAACUAUUAGAUAGCAAUCGCCCACUCACCUUAUCAAAAAAGGACCCAGGCAUGAUUGUGUGUGGUUGAUAUAAUAAUCCCUAUAAAAGAUUUCCUUUCCAUUUUCAACAAAGCAGCAAAGCUCUAAGAAAGAUACUCCUGUUGAGCAAAGGAUAGUGGCCUGUGGGGUCAGUUUCAAGCUACGAGAAGCACAAAACUUUCUCAUUUCUCUUGCCUACAACUUUAUGCCUGGUUGGCCUGAGAGAUAGAAAGGUGGCAGAAGACACUGACAGGAAGGGGAAACAAGAAAUAUCGCACUGAGCACAUUCCUAAAACUCUUCCCUUAGUGACUGCUAGCAAGGUCCUCAUAAAUGCAGAAAAAGCUGCAAUGAAGAGUUGGGAGCUCGUCUGGGGCAGAGAAUUGUGUUUUAGUGACUCCUGUACCCUCAGAGCCUUGUGAACUGUGGGAUGGAGCAGAAGCUCAACACAUGUGGUACAUGAUCAGUGGCAGACCCCUGAGGGGCCCCCUGUCUCUGAGAAAGAAUGUGCUACCCCCUCCCUCCUUGCUGAGAUGCUGGUCAAGCGAAGAAAAUGGUCCCAGACAGAGCUCACUCCUCCUAUUCUCAAAGACAUGCCUUCCCUGAUGGUCUCAUCCCUUACCCUUAUGGCCAAAAUGUGAAGGUUUAUUGUUUUUAAUGUGUCCUCAUGUUUGCCUGAGAACUGGGAUGUUUCUAGAAGAGGGAAUGGCAUAUGAUGAGGUAGGGAGACAUGAGAUUAUGUAGAAUGUUUAUAAGACUAUUUUCUCUCUCAUUUCUUUCCUAUCUGGGCUGUUAAGAGUGAGAACAGAGGUUAGAAUGAAUCAUAUUCCUGUGUUCAUGGCAUAUUGUCAUAAUUGGUCUGUUCAGAUUUCUCUUCUGUUUCAUUUACGUAUCUACUACUUUUUCCCAUAAACAAGCUUUUAUCUUGUGACAUACCCAGGUUCCCACUGUUAACAGAUAACCCCUGUAACAAAAAGCCACAUAAUUUUUUUUUUUAAAGGAAAUCAUUUGUAUAAAGAUAUCUGAGGAGAGUCAAGAUUCUGGAGAAAGACUAAAGAGAAGUGAACUGACUUUCUGUAGCUUAUUUUUCUCUGGAGGCAUUUGUUGAUUUUGGCCAAAGGGCAAGCGCCCAAUUCAGGUGUUACCUGAGUAGAGUGAGAGAAACCAAAAGAAUUUUUUGGCAGUAUCACAGGGCUGAAAAUCCGAGUGUCCUCAACACUCCUCCAUUUCUUCCAAAGAUAUUUGCCAAAUUCUGAAAAAGGAUUUAAAGGAGUUCCCAUUGCGGCUCAGUGGCAACAAACCCGACUAGUAUCCAUGAGGAUGUGGGUUUGAUCCUGGCUUCAUUCAGUUGGUUAAGGAUCUAGUGAUUUGACCCCUAGCCUGGGAACCUCUGUAUGCUGCAGGGAUGGCCCUAAAAAGAAAAAUAAAAGGAUUUCAAAAGCAGAACGGACUUCUGGGUGCUCUCUCAGUGAUGAAGAAUCAAAGAAUAGAGCUCAAGACUUCCCAAGAUGAGAGGAUCCAAUGACCAAGCCAGACAAGGUUUAGGGGACAACACCCUAGACAUAGGGAUGAACCAGAAGUAGACUAAGACUUACAAAAUCACAAGUAAGCAUUUUCUUAGCUUGGUCCCUCACUGGAUUAAGUAAUCAACCACAAAGGAAAAGGUUAAUUAACUGUAGUGAAAGAUAACAUCUUUGAAGCCUCUAAAAUGUUUUAAAAACCUCUGAUGUUAGAGUACAAGAAAAUAAAACUGGAGUUAAGAGACAGGAAAGCGACUGAUAAUCAAAAGAUAAAAUAGGAAAAGGAUCAAAUUACUGGAUGGACAAAAUGAAGCAGUAUAACAAAGAAUUGUAAUGUCUAUUUUCAAAGCAUCAAGUUGAUGUUGCAGAACUACAAAAAAGUAUCUUGAGGCCUUGCUUUUAAUUUAGAGGGAUUGAGCUCCUAAUAAACCUAUCCUCCUUCAAAUAACAAACACUUAGGUUCCCUGAAAAAAAAAUACAAAACAAAGGGAGAAAAACUACCUGAAAGCUCAGAAGACUGAAAAAUACAGGCUUAUUAUGGAAAGGAGUUGAAAAUGAGAAAAGUGAUAGGCACAGAAUGAAUUCUGUUUGUGUCACUCUACCUGGAGGACAUAUCACAGACAUGGCAACAGUGCCAGGUCACUAAGACUCCGAUAGGAAAACCCACCAGUUUAUUGUUCACAGGAAGCAGGGCAAGGUGAGUGGGAAAACCAGUGCCACUAAAAAAUGAAGAGGAGUUCCCAUCAUGGCUCAGAGGUUAACAAACCUGACUAGUAUCCAUGAGGAUGCAGGUUCAACUCCUGGCCCCUCUCAGUGGGUUAAGUAUCCAGCGUUGCCGUGAGCUGUGGCAUAGGUCACAGAUGAGGCUUGGAUCCUGCGUUGCUGUGGCUCUGGUAUAUGCCGGCAGGCUGCAGGUCCAAUUUGACCCCUCGCCUGGGAACUUCUAUAUGAUGUGGGUGAGGUCCUUAAAAAAAAAAAAAAAAAAAAAAGGAAUGAACAGGGAACCUCAGAAAGGAGGGAGUCAGAAAGAAUUACACCCUAAUUCUGUCUGCAAACUUAGGCCAAGCCUAUGACUAAUCAAUGCAUCAUUGGGGAGAACUGGUAGGAGCCUGUAGCUAAAACUUAGAAAACUCACCUGAGGACCAAGCCACUACCUACCACAGGCAGGACAGCAUGCAAUAUAAGUCAUUGUUAAUGAGUAUGAUGCCCUGUGCUCCAGCUCUUGAGGUCAGAAUGAGCUCAAAAUCAUGCCUCAGAUGGAGCUGUCAGGAUUAUCACAGCAUCUGAACAUUAACAGGAGUCUGCUGAGAUGCUCAUGGAUAUAGCUACUAUCAGCUGUGGAAAGAGAGCUCAGAAAUAUAGCUUUAGUCAUUGAUGCAUCUGUCUUGCCCAAACCCCUGGUACAUUUCACAGCGAUCUGAUUCUCUGUACUCACCAGCAGGACAGUCCCUUACAUUAGCAGGAUAUAAAUAUGCCAUAGAGACCUGGCCUGGGUGCCUAGAAAACACUUUUUCAGCUCCUGGACUAUGGGAGGGAGCUACCCUACAGAGUCUAGAGACAGGCACCACAGUUUGUAUGUUGCCAGAUCCCCAGUAGCUCAUCCAGUGCCAGACCCACAGUAAGCGCAUUGGCUUAACAAAUGCCUGCUGAAUUGACUUGAAUUUAUUGGAGGUCUUUGGAGUAAAGUUCAGUGACUUCACCCCAAUUCUCCAAGGACAUAUUUUUCCUACUUCCUGUCACGCAUACGGGUAAAACCUAUAAUUCCUGGCUGGGAGUCCUUUAGGCUUAUGUAUGCAGAUGAACAGUGGCUAUAUAGCUACCAGGAUCUUCAAGGACUUUAUACAUACAAAGCAGGAACUCCAAUUAUUUUCGAUCCUUGUGUAAGAUUCAAAUUCCUGCUGGAAUGCACAUAAAUUGUGUUCCUGGGCUCAGGCCGCAUCUGCUUUCCACUGAGUGGGCAAUAUAUACUAAUCAAAGUUCACCCACUCAGAGGAUUUCCUGCUGGUGUCUUACAAGGUAUCUUGAGUGGGACCAUUCUACUAUAGCUGACCGAUCCAGUAUUUGCACUUGCCAUUACAGCAUGCAAAAUCGUCUGUAGGUGGGCCUGAAUUUUAAUUUUCCCUCUCAGGUAGCUGUUGCAGGGAACUUUCCAUGAGGCUUCCUGGAUGUGGUGGGCUCUGGCCUCAUAAACCUAACUUCCAUCCAGUAAUGGAAUGCUUCUUUGCUUACUCACCAUUACAGACACAGUAGAUAGUAUUCAUGGAGGAGGGUGGUUUGAUCAUAUGGUCACUUAGCAGUCAAUGU
rnacentral:lncRNA from 1 species